UCAACCAUUGUACUGAAUUCAACAGCGCACAAGUAAAGCCAAAAUAUGACAAACUUCUUGCCACAGUUUUUUGCCCAAACUGUGAUUGAGGAAGUGCAUCAGCAAAUCCUAAUAUACCCAAACUUCUCAAGGAAUUCCCCCCAAAAUGAGAUUUCAGUAAAGUACCACCAUUAGUUUCCUAAUCCUCCAAAAUAACUCUGAUCUGACAAUUUGGAGUAACCUGCAAACCAAAAUAUAAACAUGAGUCUCAGUCGAGUCUUUGUCAUGAUUCUGAAUUUUUUUACAUUCUAGAGACAUCAAAAUACUGGCAUGGAGAGAACACCUGACAUAAACAAAAGAUUUUUGUUCCUUUAAUUUCUUCUUGGGCUCAAUAUAAACACACGUAAACAUAAACAUGAGUCAGAAGUACACAACAGCACAAACAGAUUCCAGUUAAUACUGCUGUUGAGCAAUUACAAAAAAUGAGAUGCUAUCUGCAGACUGCAAGCUAGUUUGCCAGCUUUGUAGUUCUUAGGUUGUUUGUAGUUUAUCUCUGCAUCAAGACUUAUUAACACAAUUUUCACACUAGGUAGAUCACCGACUGUUUCUCCUACAAAAUCAUCACCAUCAAUAUAAUAGCAUCAACUUUGGAUCCAUUAUUUCUAAUGAAUAUUUCAGUUAUUCAAUCUAAAAUACACGCAUUCUACAAUAGUUCUAACAUGAAUUCUGGUUUACAUUGGAUAUGACCGAUUUUUCGACGAAAAUGGUAUGCUCUACAACACAUACCUGAUAACCUAUUUCAAAUUAACAUAUAUGCCAGUGAGAGGUCCGUUUUUUAGUUAUGCAGAAACAUCUAGCAACAUAAAGAGAAUUCAUAGAUUUAUCAUCAUCAGCAUGCAAAUAUGCAAUCAAGUAUAUCUCAGAUUUGAUGAAUACAAAGCGAAACAUGUCAGAACUAAACACUUCAGGGCAUUAACAUUUUACAAAGAACAAAAGCAUGAUCCCUUGCAACUCGCAAGUAUCGUUGGAUUUCUGAUAGGUGUGCACCUACACUUGUCCGAAAUAUUUAAGAACAUCCGUCCUUUUCAAAGAGAAUUGCAUCAGCCCAAAAAAUAAGCCCAACUUGACAUACUUGGGGAACACUUCUGUUGAAGGACUACUAGAUAGCAUUGCAAAUUUGGUCAUAGGUCAAUAUACACUUAUACAGUAUGGUAAUUUGGUAAGAAAUAGCAAGCACCAUGCUUCAGUUCAGUCAUGAUUUGUUGAUAACAUUUCAGGACAUCGACUAGUGAAAGACAUAUUUAUCAUGGUGAAAAGGCAGCCAUAUUUUAGCCUUGUCCUAAUUUUAUGUCUGGGAUAAGUCAGACCGGAUAAUGAAGUAGUUCAGACAAGGUAAUACUACUCUGUGUAGCAGUCCAGCACUAUAGACAGUACCAGCGAUUAUAAGAGUCAAGAAGAAGUAGAAGCCAAAACAGUCGCCGUGCUACCGGUUCAUUGACUAGCUAGUCCCAACAUAUUCAAGCAUCAAAUUUUUGUUCAUCUAAAAGUGCAGCAUGAUUGUAGGAAAGGAAGUGCCCUGUCCUGUAAUUAGCCAAAGUUUGUGCAUACAAUCCUGACAAGUUGGAUCUAAGGAUAACAAUGGUGGAGUAUAAUUAUUAAACAUAGUGAUUUCGAAACAUUACCAAAACUUUGUUGCUUGUGCAAGUAACACAUUUUAUGGGCAGUGUAGGAGAAAUGCAGAAUCAUGCGACAAGAAGGAACAAGAUAUGACAAGAUAUCAAACGAAUCAAGAAGGGUACCCAAACAAGAAAGAGUUACUUAAGAGAGUGUACCGGAGAUAAGUUAGCUGUCUACGCGAACCAGCAUGUCUGCCAAAGUCUUCUUUUUGCA
rnacentral:lncRNA from 1 species